rnacentral:misc_RNA from 1 species
AAGUCGUAACAAGGUUUCCGUAGGUGAACCUGCGGAAGGAUCAUUACUAAUGUUUAUUCAUUCUUAAUAAAACCAAACCUUUUGUGCAACCACUUAUCAAUGGCUUGUCCCGGCAGUGUUAAGUCAAGACUGGUUCGAAAGAGCCGGACUUGGUGUAUUAGUGUCGGAUCAAGACUUGCCUGAGAUAUUUUACAAACAUAUACCAACUAUGCCUUGAUAUCCGUCUCUUGACUUGGGUCAAACCAAUGACAGGGACAACUAAGGGUAAAAAACUUUUAGCAACGGAUCUCUUGGCUCUC